CGCAUCUGUGCAUGCAGCAUAUCAAUAAGCGGAGGAAAAGAAACUAACAAGGAUUCCCCUAGUAACGGCGAGUGAAGCGGGAAGAGCUCAAAUUUGAAAUCUUAAAGGGUUUCCCUUUACGAAUUGUAGUUUAAAGAAGUGUUUUCUGUUGAGGUUUUGGUAAAAGUUCUUUGGAAUAGGACAUCAUAGAGGGUGAGAAUCCCGUAUUUGACCUUUACUUUCAACUUUGUGAUACACUUUCAAAGAGUCGGAUUGUUUGGGAAUGCAGUCCAAAAUGGGUGGUAAAUUUCAUCUAAAGCUAAAUAUCGGCGAGAGACCGAUAGCGAACAAGUACCGUGAGGGAAAGGAUGAAAAGAACUUUGAAAAGAGAGUUAAACAGUACUGUGAAAUUGUCAAAAGGGAAGCGUUUGACACCAGUGUUGUUUUUCUGAAAAUCAAUUAAAGAACUGUUUAUGCUAAGUUGUUUAGACUUUAUCAGCUAACUGUUUAGUUUUGAGCUUUUCUUUAAUGCACUUUUCAGUUAACAAGUCAACAUCAAUUUCUUUUGCUGUAAAAAAGCUUGAGGAAGGUGGCUUGAGAUUCGUCUUAAGUGUUUAUAGCCUCUUGCCUAUGCAGUCGGGAGAGAUUGAGGUCUGCAGCGUAGAUCCUUCGGGGCUAAAUGCAUUUGUGCUAAGUUAUAGCAUUUUAUAGACAACUUGUUGACUAUGAUUUGUCUUGUAGCUUACUCGCUUAUGUUAUUUUACCUACGCUUAGGAUGUUGACAGCAGUAUAGACUGU
rnacentral:rRNA from 1 species